rnacentral:rRNA from 1 species
UACGAAGGGGGCUAGCGUUGCUCGGAAUCACUGGGCGUAAAGCGCGCGCAGGCGGUCUUCCAAGUCAGUGGUGAAAGCCCGGAGCUCAACUCCGGAACUGCCAUUGAAACUGUUGGACUUGAGUACGAGAGAGGUGAGUGGAAUUCCCAGUGUAGAGGUGAAAUUCGUAGAUAUUGGGAAGAACACCGGUGGCGAAGGCGGCUCACUGGCUCGUAACUGACGCUCAGGCGCGACAGCGUGGGGAUCGAAACAGG